rnacentral:lncRNA from 1 species
CUGCAUACAGAAAAACGGUAACCACUAGAUAGAAAUUAAUAAAAACUCUAAUUCAAAGCUGUCGGAUCGUUGGUGCUAACUAUCAAUCCCAAAAGCUCGAAUUGUUAGAAAUACGCAACUAAUUAAUUCACUUAAAGCGUACAGAUACAGCAUCCAAAGGUAUCAAUUGUGAUAUACUCGGCCCAUCCGGCCUCACACUACUUCGAACAUGACUCGACCUAUCCAGCCUCACGCCAUUUCGAACGUGACUCAGCCCAACCCGACCUCCCGUCAUAUAGCAGAAUGCUCACCCAUUUAAGUCAACAAAAGCUUCUAUUUUUGUAAGAAAGAAAAGCUGUUGAAAAAAGAGAAUAUAGGGCAUUUCUAUUUG